GAUGAACGCUGGCGGCGUGCCUAAUACAUGCAAGUCGAGCGAACAGACGAUGAGCUUGCUCCUCUGACGUUAGCGGCGGACGGGUGAGUAAGACGUGGAUAACCUACCUAUAAUACUGGGAUAACUUCGGGAAACCAGAGCUAAUACCGCAUAAUAUAUUGAACGGCAUGGAUCAAUAGUGCAAGACACUUUUGCUGUCACUUAUAGAUGGAUCCGCGCCGCAUUAGCUAGUUGGUAAGGUAACGGCCUACCAAGGCAACGAUGCGUAGCCGACCUGAGAGGAUGAUCGGCCACACUGGAACUGAGACACGGUCCAGACUCCUACGGGAGGCAGCAGUAGGGAAUAUUGCGCAAUGGGCGCAAGCCUGACCCAGCCACGCCGCGUGAGUGAAGAAGGUCUUCGGAUCGUAAAACCCUGUUAUUGGGGAAGAAAAACUGUGGAAUUAUCUACGCACGUCUUGACGGUACCUAAACAGUAAGCACCGGCUAACUUCGUG
rnacentral:rRNA from 1 species